AAGAAACACUCUUUCCCUACAUUACGCACUUCCCCUUGCCUUGCGAAUUUCCUGGGCAUACCAUUCGUAUCCUCUUCACCCGCAGUGGCGACAACCUACCCCUUCUAGGUAGGCUCCCGGUUACUCAGACUUGUGAUCAUACCCCUGGGAUUCAUCUCACCCUAUCUCAGCCAGGCAUCAUAGUGAGGAGGGGGAACCGUG